AUGCUGACAUAAGUAACGAUAAAGCGGGUGAAAAGCCCGCUCGCCGGAAGACCAAGGGUUCCUGUCCAACGUUAAUCGGGGCAGGGUGAGUCGACCCCUAAGGCGAGGCCGAAAGGCGUAGUCGAUGGGAAACGGGUUAAUAUUCCCGUACUUGGUGUUACUGCGAAGGGGGGACGGAGAAGGCUAUGUUGGCCGGGCGACGGUUGUCCCGGUUUAAGCGUGUAGGUGUGUGUUCCAGGUAAAUCCGGUUCACUUUAACACUGAGGCGUGAUGACGAGGCACUACGGUGCUGAAGCAACAAAUGCCCUGCUUCCAGGAAAAGCCUCUAAGCAUCAGGUAACAUCAAAUCGUACCCCAAACCGACACAGGUGGUCAGGUAGAGAAUACCAAGGCGCUUGAGAGAACUCGGGUGAAGGAACUAGGCAAAAUGGUGCCGUAACUUCGGGAGAAGGCACGCUGACACGUAGGUGAAGUGAUUUACUCAUGGAGCUGAAGUCAGUCGAAGAUACCAGCUGGCUGCAACUGUUUAUUAAAAACACAGCACUGUGCAAACACGAAAGUGGACGUAUACGGUGUGACGCCUGCCCGGUGCCGGAAGGUUAAUUGAUGGGGUCAGCGCAAGCGAAGCUCCUGAUCGAAGCCCCGGUAAACGGCGGCCGUAACUAUAACGGUCCUAAGGUAGCGAAAUUCCUUGUCGGGUAAGUUCCGACCUGCACGAAUGGCGUAAUGAUGGCCAGGCUGUCUCCACCCGAGACUCAGUGAAAUUGAACUCGCUGUGAAGAUGCAGUGUACCCGCGGCAAGACGGAAAGACCCCGUGAACCUUUACUAUAGCUUGACACUGAACAUUGAGCCUUGAUGUGUAGGAUAGGUGGGAGGCUUUGAAGCGUGGACGCCAGUCUGCGUGGAGCCGACCUUGAAAUACCACCCUUUAAUGUUUGAUGUUCUAACGUGGACCCGUAAUCCGGGUUGCGGACAGUGUCUGGUGGGUAGUUUGACUGGGGCGGUCUCCUCCUAAAGAGUAACGGAGGAGCACGAAGGUUGGCUAAUCCUGGUCGGACAUCAGGAGGUUAGUGCAAUGGCAUAAGCCAGCUUGACUGCGAGCGUGACGGCGCGAGCAGGUGCGAAAGCAGGUCAUAGUGAUCCGGUGGUUCUGAAUGGAAGGGCCAUCGCUCAACGGAUAAAAGGUACUCCGGGGAUAACAGGCUGAUACCGCCCAAGAGUUCAUAUCGACGGCGGUGUUUGGCACCUCGAUGUCGGCUCAUCACAUCCUGGGGCUGAAGUAGGUCCCAAGGGUAUGGCUGUUCGCCAUUUAAAGUGGUACGCGAGCUGGGUUUAGAACGUCGUGAGACAGUUCGGUCCCUAUCUGCCGUGGGCGCUGGAGAACUGAGGGGGGCUGCUCCUAGUACGAGAGGACCGGAGUGGACGCAUCACUGGUGUUCGGGUUGUCAUGCCAAUGGCACUGCCCGGUAGCUAAAUGCGGAAGAGAUAAGUGCUGAAAGCAUCUAAGCACGAAACUUGCCCCGGGAUGAGUUCUCCCUGAGACUUAGAGUCUCCUGAAGGAACGUUGAAGACGACGACGUUGAUAGGCCGGGUGUGUAAGCGCAGCGAUGCGUUGAGCUAACCGGUACUAAUGAACCGUGAGGCUUAACCUUACAACGCCGAA
rnacentral:rRNA from 1 species